rnacentral:rRNA from 1 species
GACGAACGCUGGCGGCGUGCCUAAUACAUGCAAGUAGAACGCUGAAGAGAGGAGCUUGCUCUUCUUGGAUGAGUUGCGAACGGGUGAGUAACGCGUAGGUAACCUGCCUUGUAGCGGGGGAUAACUAUUGGAAACGAUAGCUAAUACCGCAUAACAAUGGAUGACCCAUGUCAUUUAUUUGAAAGGGGCAAAUGCUCCACUACAAGAUGGACCUGCGUUGUAUUAGCUAGUAGGUGAGGUAACGGCUCACCUAGGCGACGAUACAUAGCCGACCUGAGAGGGUGAUCGGCCACACUGGGACUGAGACACGGCCCAGACUCCUACGGGAGGCAGCAGUAGGGAAUCUUCGUCAAUGGGGGCAACCCUGACCGAGCAACGCCGCGUGAGUGAAGAAGGUUUUCGGAUCGUAAAGCUCUGUUGUAAGUCAAGAACGAGUGUGAGAGUGGAAAGUUCACACUGUGACGGUAGCUUACCAGAAAGGGACGGCUAACUACGUG